rnacentral:lncRNA from 1 species
CAGCCAAAUUGGAGGGAAAUUAAAAAGAUUAGAAAAAGAAAAAGAAAGAGAUAAGAGAAUCUUGACCUGAGAAAAGUGGGAGGAGGUCUCUAUAUGGAUUUAUAACUUUACAUAUGUUGAUCCCUGGAUUGAUUUUGAUGAUAACAAAAAAUUUGUCUGGAAAUCUCUCCUUUACUUCACUUUCUGGCUCACAAGUACUUUCCCUCUUGAAUGCACAAAGAACUCUUCAAAGGUAUUC